UCCACACAUUGAGUUUGAAGGUUCUUUGUUCCUGCCAGUGACAGUUAUGCGAGAAUACUUCCCCUUAAUAGCCUCUCUGUCAGGAAGUGUUAAACCUGCCAAAUGCAGACAAUUAGAGCCUCUAGAACAAAAUGCAGGAAGAGUGAUGACUGAUGAAGAGCCAGGAUGAAAAAGCAUUUCACUAAUAUGACAGAAGGAGGCAUGGCAAGAAGCAGUUCUUUUUUAAAAAGAUGAGAGUAUUUGGUGGAUUGUAAGAACAAACAGUUGAUAGGAUAUAUUUAAUACUGUCUCAAGGUAACAAUAAAAAGAAAUGAUGUAAUUAACAAAAAGAAAGCAUGGAGAAGGGAUAAAUUUAAAGAGGGAAGACAAAUUCUGUUUUAGACAUGAUGAAGUUGACAUGAUGAGACAUCUAUGUAGAUUUGUAGGUUAUCUAAAAGGAGAUGUGAGAUACAAUGAGAAAAAUCUAUAUAAAGUUACUAAAUGGAACCAUGGCUGUAGAUAAAAUUUCCAAAAGACACAGUAAAAAGAAAAA